AAGUCGAGCGAGAAAGUCCCUUCGGGGAUGAGUACAGCGGCGGACGGGUGAGUAACACGUAAGAAUCUGCCCUAUAGUGAGGAAUACCCUCGAGAAAUUGAGGUUAAUACUGCAUAAGUCCCUGCGGGGAGAAAAGCAUCUUUUAUGUUGCUGCUAUAGGAUGAGCUUGUGGACUAUCAGCUUGUUGGUGAGGUAAAGGCUCACCAAGGCUAUGACGGUUAACCGGCCUGAGAGGGUGUACGGUCACAUAGGCACUGAGACACGGGCCUGACUCCUACGGGAGGCAGCAGUGGGGAAUAUUGCGCAAUGGGCGAAAGCCUGACGCAGCGACGCCGCGUGGAGGAUGAAGGUCUUCGGAUUGUAAACUCCUGUCAGAUGGGAAGAAAAGUUUAUGUUUAAUAGACGUAGAAUAUGACGGUACCAUCAGAGGAAGCACCGGCUAACUUCGUGCCAGCAGCCGCGGUAAUACGAAGGGUGCGAGCGUUAUUCGGAAUCACUGGGCGUAAAGGGUGCGUAGAUGGCUUGUUAAGUUCGUUGUUAAAGGCUCUGGCCUAACCGGAGUAUUGCAAUGAAAACUGGCAGACUAGAGGGUGAGAGAGAGAAGUGGAAUUCCUGGAGUAGCGGUAAAAUGCGUGGAUCUCAGGAGGAACACCAAUGGCGAAGGCAGCUUCUUGGCUCAUUCCUGACAUUGAGGCACGAAAGCGUGGGGAGCAAACAGGAUUAGAUACCCUGGUAGUCCACGCCGUAAACGAUAAUCACUAGAUGUUGGUUCGGCUUAGCUGGAUCAGUGUCGUAGCUAACGCGUUAAGUGAUUC
rnacentral:rRNA from 1 species